GACGAACGCGGCGGCGUGCCUAAUACAUGCAAGUAGAACGCUGAAGGAGGAGCUUGCUUCUCUGGAUGAGUUGCGAACGGGUGAGUAACGCGUAGGUAACCUGCCUGGUAGCGGGGGAUAACUAUUGGAAACGAUAGCUAAUACCGCAUAAGAGUAGAUGUUGCAUGACAUUUGCUUAAAAGGUGCAAUUGCAUCACUACCAGAUGGACCUGCGUUGUAUUAGCUAGUUGGUGGGGUAACGGCUCACCAAGGCGACGAUACAUAGCCGACCUGAGAGGGUGAUCGGCCACACUGGGACUGAGACACGGCCCAGACUCCUACGGGAGGCAGCAGUAGGGAAUCUUCGGCAAUGGACGGAAGUCUGACCGAGCAACGCCGCGUGAGUGAAGAAGGUUUUCGGAUCGUAAAGCUCUGUUGUAAGAGAAGAACGAGUGUGAGAGUGGAAAGUUCACACUGUGACGGUAUCUUACCAGAAAGGGACGGCUAACUACGUGCCAGCAGCCGCGGUAAUACGUAGGUGGCAAGCGUUAUCCGGAUUUAUUGGGCGUAAAGAGAGUGCAGGCGGUUUUCUAAGUCUGAUGUGAAAGCCUUCGGCUUAACCGGAGAAGUGCAUCGGAAACUGGAUAACUUGAGUGCAGAAGAGGGUAGUGGAACUCCAUGUGUAGCGGUGGAAUGCGUAGAUAUAUGGAAGAACACCAGUGGCGAAGGCGGCUACCUGGUCUGCAACUGACGCUGAGACUCGAAAGCAUGGGUAGCGAACAGG
rnacentral:rRNA from 1 species